rnacentral:rRNA from 1 species
CCUACGGGAGGCAGCAGUGGGGAAUAUUGCUCAAUGGGGGAAACCCUGAUGCAGCAACGCCGCGUGGGUGAAGGAGCGUUUCGGCGCGUAAAGCCCUGUCAGCGGGGAAGAAGAAAGACGGUACCCGACCAAGAAGCCCCGGCUAACUACGUGCCAGGAGCCGCGGUAAUACGGAGGGGGCGAGCGUUAACCGGAAUUACUGGGUGUAACAGGAGCGUAGACGGCGAGGUAAGCCUUAAGUGGAAGCCCGGGGCCCAACCGCGGAACUGCUUUGGAAACUGUUUUGCUUGAGUAUGGGAGGGGUAAGCGGAAUGCGUGGUGUAGCGGUGAAAUGCGUAGAUAUCAGGAGGAACACCGAUGGCGAAGGCGGCUUACUGGACCAUAACUGACGUUGAGGCUCGAAAGCGUGGGGAGCGAACAGGAUUAGAUACCCCUGUAGUC